GAAAUACUCCCUCUGUCCUGAAUUACUUGUCUUAGAUUAGUCUAGAUAUGGAUUUAUCUAGACACGUUUUAGUGUUUAGAUACAUCUGUAUCUAGAAAAAUCUAAGCCAAGAUUUUUGGGAUGCAGGUAAUAGAAA
rnacentral:pre_miRNA from 1 species